AGAAACAAAGAAAAUCAGCGAUAGAUAAUGGCAGCCUCUGGCAUGCUCUACACAGACACAGAAUCUUAAGAAGGAAAACGGAAAAUGGUGGCGAUUUCGCUUUACAGAGGGAACCUGCACAGAGUUCCAGACGUACCUCGUCGAUGGCUAAUGCCAGCGCGUCAAAUCUCCCUCAAAGACUUCAAAUCCCUCUUGGAUCGCCGCUCCAAGGCCCUCUCUCGUCUCCGACCCUCUACCAACGCCGUCGCCACCACUUCAAAUCACAACCCUAAACCUAACCCUGAUCCUAACACAAAGGAGAACGGGAUUCCUAUUACGCCUGAGUUGAAAGUCGACAAGGUGAAUAAUAAUGAAGAGGAAGGCACUUCCAAUGGUUUAGUUUCUGAGGAGGUCAAGGAUCAGGUAGGUUUGGAGUAUGGUGAAUGCUCUGUUAGACCUGCUGAUGUUUCUAAUUCGUUGCUUCCUCCUGAGAAGCCUGAGGUAGCUGAGAAAAGCGAUGAGGCAGUUACUGGCGAUGGGAAUUUACGGCCCCGAAAAGAGGAUUUGUCAGUUAAUCCUAAUACGGAGACGGAGAUGUGCAAAACGGAUGUGAUAAAUCAUGAUAAAGAGAAUAGGAAAAAGGAAGUUGAGGAGAAGUUACUAGUUUUGAAUGAGAAGAAGCAUAGUCUGGUGCAAGUGCUAAAGCAGAUCUUGAAUGUUGAGGAGGAAUUAAAGAGACGAAAUAGCGUGCAAGGAAUGGCAAUUCGCCCAUCUGUUCCUCUUCAAGUGGAUGUUACAAAUGAUUCUGGGUCAUUGAGUAGGCAUGCUACUCCUAGGAUGGGCUCAGAGGCAAAUCUUGGUGGUGACAUGGAAGGGGCAGAAACUGAGGAUGUGUCAAAACCUAGUAAUCAAUCUCGCCAUAUCCAUCGAAUGAGCAGUACAUCUCCAUCAUCAGAGUCUCCUCUAAGAAAGCCUCCCUACAUUCAGCAUAAUGUGGUUCCACAUCCCUCAAGGCCAAGUUUGGGGGCCACCAGCAGUCCAUCGCGCUUCGCUCUGACUGGGCACCAAGGCCCUCCUGCAAGUGUUCCCACGGUGUCUGUAUCAGGAACAAAUUAUGUUGCAUCUUCACCUUCCCCUGCAGCUUCUGGUGGCACUUCAGCUUUUAGAGAUGCCCGGCAGCCAAGUCCAUGGAAUUAGAAGUUGGGUGAUGGCAUGAUUCGAAGUAAAUCUAUUCUUUUGUUGUUUGGCUUUGUUGCUGAACUUCAGUCUUAUUGUAGACCAGUAAGCAUAUUGAAUGCUGAAGCCUUUAAAGUUUCCACUAAAGCGGAGUCUUUCCAUGGUUUAGCCAGUCCACCAAGUUGAAGAUCUCAAGCAGUGUCACAUUUUUGCUUUCUCAGAUCAUUGACUACUUGAGCAUUCACUGGCUGGGACCAGAGUUUCAGCAGUCCACUUGACUUGAGAGCAGAGAGAGCUAUGCACUCACUUUUGUCACCAACUCAUAAAUUCCUGUUGAUAGAGUAAUUGCUAUCGCAAAAGGAGUUAACAUUCUUUUACUAGUUCUGUCCAUCGGAUCCAACUCUAUAGGCCUCAAAUUUGAGCAUAUGAUAUCUUUAGCAUAAACUCUAUAAUACCUAAAACAGUAUACAUUACAAUUUACAAACAAUCCCAUCAUUUUUGCAAAUGGUGGACUCGUCUACAAAUUGUCAUUUUGACGCUGUCUCUAGGCUGAUAUUAUUAUUAGGCAAUGACUAUGAAAUUCGCAUGUUAAAGGGAAAAAAAAAAA